CCAACAGGGAUUGCCUCAGUAACGGCGAGUGAAGCGGCAACAGCUCAAAUUUGAAAUCUGGCCCUCCGGCCCGAGUUGUAAUUUGCAGAGGAUGCUUCUGGCGCGGUGCCUUCCAAGUCCCCUGGAACGGGGCGCCAUAGAGGGUGAGAGCCCCGUCUGGUCGGCCGCCAAGCCUGUGUGAAGCUCCUUCGACGAGUCGAGUAGUUUGGGAAUGCUGCUCUAAAUGGGAGGUAGACCCCUUCUAAAGCUAAAUACCGGCCAGAGACCGAUAGCGCACAAGUAGAGUGAUCGAAAGAUGAAAAGCACUUUGAAAAGAGGGUUAAACAGUACGUGAAAUUGUUGAAAGGGAAGCGCUUGUGACCAGACGUGCGCCGGGGUGUUCAGCGGGCGUUCUCGCCCGUGCACUCGCCCCGGCGCAGGCCAGCGUCGGUCCGGAUGGGGGGACAAAGGCGCCGGGAACGUAGCUCCUCCGGGAGUGUUAUAGCCCGGCGUGCCAUGCCCCCGCCUGGACCGAGGUUCGCGCUCCGCAAGGACGCUGGCGUAAUGGUCCCCAGCGGCCCGUCUUGAAACACGGACCAAGGAGUCGAGGUUUUGCGCGAGUGUUUGGGUGUCAAACCCGCACGCGUAAUGAAAGUGAACGCAGGUGGGAGCUUCGGCGCACCACCGACCGAUCCUGAUGUUCUCGGAUGGAUUUGAGUAGGAGCGUAGGGCCUCGGACCCGAAAGAUGGUGAACUAUACGUGAAUAGGGUGAAGCCAGAGGAAACUCUGGUGGAGGCUCGCAGCGGUUCUGACGUGCAAAUCGAUCGUCAAAUUUGCGUAUGGGGGCGAAAGACUAAUCGAACCAU
rnacentral:rRNA from 1 species